rnacentral:rRNA from 1 species
GACGAACGCUGGCGGCGUGCCUAAUACAUGCAAGUAGAACGCACAGUUUAUACCGUAGCUUGCUACACCAUAGACUGUGAGUUGCGAACGGGUGAGUAACGCGUAGGUAACCUGCCUGGUAGCGGGGGAUAACUAUUGGAAACGAUAGCUAAUACCGCAUAAUAUUAAUUAUUGCAUGAUAAUUAAUUGAAAGGCGCAAUUGCACCACUACAAGAUGGACCUGCGUUGUAUUAGCUAGUAGGUGAGGUAACGGCUCACCUAGGCGAAGAUACAUAGCCGAACUGGGAGGGUGAUCCGCCACACUGGGACUGAGACACGGGCCAGAAUCCCACGGGAGGGAGCAGUAGGGAAUUUUCGGCAAUGGACGAAAGGCUGACCGAGGAACGCCGCGGUGGGGAAGAAGGGUUUCGGAUUGUAAAGCUCCGUUGUAAGAGAAGAACGGGUGUGAGAGUGGAAAGUGCACACUGUGACGGUAUCUUACCAGAAAGGGACGGCUAACUACGUG